CCUACGGGCGGCAGCAGUGAGGAAUAUUGGACAAUGGGCGGGAGCCUGAACCAGCCAAGCCGCGUGAGGGAAGAAGGUACAGCGUAUCGUAAACCUCUUUUGUCAGGGAACAAAGGCGGGGACUAGUCCCCGGAUGAGGGUACCUGAAGAAAAAGCAUCGGCUAACUCCGUGCCAGCAGCCGCGGUAAUACGGGGGAUGCGAGCGUUAUCCGGAUUUAUUGGGUUUAAAGGGUGCGCAGGCGGCCAGUUAAGUUAGCGGUAAAAGCCCGGGGCUAAACCCCGGCGAGCCGUUGAAACUGGCGGGCUGGAGUUGGGGAGAAGUACGCGGAAUGCGAGGUGUAGCGGUGAAAUGCUUAGAGAUCGCGCAGAACCCCGGUUGCGAAGGCAGCGUCCCGGCUACACACUGACGCUGAGGCACGAAAGCGUGGGUAUCGAACAGGAUUAGAUACCCGGGUAGUC
rnacentral:rRNA from 1 species